AACUAAGGCUAGCAUCGUAGAGAGUUUGUUCGAUCAUCAGUUCUCUCUACGGUGGGACCACCAUAUCUUUCAGUCGGUGGAAAUCCUUCCGAUCGUCGAUCUCCACCCGAUUGUUCUCGUUCGGGCCGAUCCUUGGAUCAUCCCAGCAUGAAGGAAAGCCUCAGGGAAGAGAAGAGGAAAUAAAAAAAAAUUGGUUCAUCUAUCUAUAGAUGGACGAUAGA
rnacentral:lncRNA from 1 species